UACGUAGGGGGCUAGCGUUGUCCGGAAUUAUUGGGCGUAAAGAGCUCGUAGGUGGCGUGUCGCGUCUGCCGUGAAAGCCCAUGGCUUAACUGUGGGUCUGCGGUGGAUACGGGCAGGCUGGAGGCUGGUAGGGGCAAGCGGAAUUCCUGGUGUAGCGGUGAAAUGCGCAGAUAUCAGGAGGAACACCGGUGGCGAAGGCGGCUUGCUGGGCCAGUUCUGACGCUGAGGCACGAAAGCGUGGGGAGCAAACAGG
rnacentral:rRNA from 1 species